AGAAAUUGCGUGUGAGGCAAAGACUUUGAAUAACUUCUUGGGGAAUGAUGCCGAAUGAUGUUGAAACGAGUUGAAUUAAUUGGGAAAUGUAGAAAAUAGAAAUGAAAAACGGAAUUUCGGAGAAUUUGGUGGAAUUUCAAAUUUGAAAGUUUGGAAUUUUUGGUAAGUGGGAAGUUGUGGAAUAGGUAGGCAAAAGAUGAAGAGUUGAUAGUUGGAAUGGGUGGAAUCGGUAGAGAAAUGUAGAAAUUAGAGUAGAAAAACGAAAUUUUGGAGAAUUUG